UGCCAGCAGCCGCGGUAACACGAACUGCGCGAACGUUAUUCGGAAUCACUGGGCUUAAAGAGUUCGUAGGCGGCUUGGUCAGUCAGAUGUGAAAUCCCACAGCCCAACUGUGGAACUGCGUUUGAUACUGCCAAGCUUGAGGGAGUUAGAGGAAAGCGGAACUGAUGGUGGAGCGGUGAAAUGCGUUGAUAUCAUCAGGAACACCGGUGGCGAAAGCGGCUUUCUGGAGCUCUUCUGACGCUGAGGAACGAAAGCUAGGGGAGCGAACGGGAUUAGAUA
rnacentral:rRNA from 1 species